GCCGUCGUAGCUCAGUUGGCAGAGCAACGCCAUGGUAAGGCGUAGGUCCGCAGUUCAAAUCUGCGCGACGGCUCCA
rnacentral:tRNA from 1 species